rnacentral:lncRNA from 1 species
CUGAGGCAUAAAUCUCCAGAAAUAAAGCAAAGGAUUUGUUAGAAAGAUUUGAUCCUGAGCAAUGAAGCAACAACCUCAGUGACAAGGACUAACAGGGAUGUGCCUUUACCUUCUGUUCUUGGAGAGAUUGAAAAUGAUUUUCAGCCACCAAAAGCUAUGUUUUAAUAAAAUAUAAGUUAAAAUAGUUAACUUUUCUAAUAAGGAAAGCCUAAAGAGAGUAGAUUGAUCAUCAUUGAAAUGAAUGAAGCAAUGAAAUAAUUCCUCCCUGCCCAACAGGUCCCUGCUGGGAGUGCUGAGGCUGCAGGUAAAGGGCAAAGCUCUGGAUUCAAGAGGUCUGGAUAAGUGGAUGGAUGUGGAAAACUGCUAGUUUUGACAGAAGAAAUUGCUGAAUAUAUUAAAUAACAACGUGAGAAACCAAUAAAUCUGCAGGUAGUGCUGUGAGGAGUGGCCAGGUUGGCUGGAUGCCUGGAUGGGAACACCAGGAGCCUUUUGGGGAUCCGAGUGUAUCCAGGACAGCAGCAGCACCUGGGGAACUAAAUCAGCAAUGCUGGCAAAAAAUGAGACUGAAAAUAUCAGAAAUAGCAAAUAACCAUACAGAAACCGGCAAGUUUUGGGAUGGACACAGCAAAAUUGUGAUCACUGGAAAAAACAAGCACUCACCAAACCAAGCAGACAUUAGGAGCAAGCCGUGGGAUGAUCCGACCAGGUCUGCAGGAUAAAAAUGACUUAACAAGUGUUGAAAGCCAGAAAAACCAUCAUGGUCAAUGAGUGCGACCUCCUGGACACACAGACAAAAGCAUUUUAGCCAAUGUUCUGCACCAAACACUUCUUUGCAUGACCACCUUAAAUGCAGAAGCAUUGCAAACACCUUCAGAACUGACACACCUGAAGGUCUUCAUCCCUUAAGAGGAUGCCAGUGUAGGAGAGAGGCACUGUAACACUUUUGCUGAGACAGGAGCUUAUUUAUUGACCACAAAAGGAAAGAGGAGCCAGCAGCAACAAUUGAGGACCUCAGAGAAAAGCCUCUUCUUGUCCAGCCACCCUUGUUCUCCCCACAGAGCUCACAACCUGUGAUUAAAUAUUUCCAAAUGGAAUGCCAUAAAAAAUUCACAUCAGACUGAAAAUGGGUGCAAGAGUGACCCAGGCUCAAAUAAUAUUUUAUGCAUCAUAUCUUAAAAAUCCCUUGGUGGUGAAGAGUGACACAACAUACCCUGUAAGUCCCAGGUUCAGGAGAAACUUGGAAGCGUUUCUAACAUUUUGCCAGUUGAACAGAUGAAUAAAGAGCUGAACACUUGGACCCA